rnacentral:rRNA from 1 species
GACGAACGCUGGCGGCGUGCUUAACACAUGCAAGUCGAACGGAAAGGCCCUGCUUUUGUGGGGUGCUCGAGUGGCGAACGGGUGAGUAACACGUGAGUAACCUGCCCUUGAAUUUGGGAUAACUUCAGGAAACUGGGGCUAAUACCGGAUAGGAGCUCCUGCUGCAUGGUGGGGGUUGGAAAGUUUCGGCGGUUGGGGAUGGACUCGCGGCUUAUCAGCUUGUUGGUGGGGUAGUGGCUUACCAAGGCUUUGACGGGUAGCCGGCCUGAGAGGGUGACCGGCCACAUUGGGACUGAGAUACGGCCCAGACUCGUACGGGAGGCAGCAGUGGGGAAUAUUGCACAAUGGGCGGAAGCCUGAUGCAGCAACGCCGCGUGCGGGAUGACGGCCUUCGGGUUGUAAACCGCUUUCGCCUGUGACGAAGCGUGAGUGACGGUAAUGGGUAAAGAAGCACCGGCUAACUACGUG